GACACUUGCUUGAUUAGGGUACAUUGCUAAGACAUUGUAUGGUGAUGAUGAUGAAGAGGUUACUCCUCAGAAUAGCGGCACAGUGGAGGAGCCAAAAUUUUUAGGUCUUUACCCUGGAUCAAAUGAGAAGAUUCUCUUGAAGAAUGGUCCUUAUGGAUUCUAUGUUCAGCUUGGUGAGGACAGGAAGGGAUACUUGCCUAAAAGACCCUCGGUUUCCCAAAUAAAAACAUGUAGACUAUAUUACCCUGGAAGAUGCUAUUGAGUUGUUGCGCUAUCCUGCGACAUUGCCAGUUGUAUUGAAGCUUGCAAAGUUUGGAUUUUCCAUUAGACAUCGACGCACAAUCGCGCCUGUACCUGAGGUAUAUCUUUCUUUGUUAAGCAUGUCUUUAUUAAAUAGUUAUGGUAUUUUCCAACUCUUUUUCUUCACUAAAUUCAGCUUGAAUCUCCUAUUGUAGUACUCAUUUGAGUAUGAGAAGUAUCCACAGCAAGUUUAACUAAUAAGCUAUUGGCCACCAUAUUAGCCUCCUAUAGCAAAACCUUACAAAUGGGUUCUUAAAACUAGACAGCUGGUGUAUAUAGGUCAAUUCUCAGCCAUACACAGUUCGGAGUAUUUUUAUCAGUUUGUGAAGUAGGUAUAGGAGUUGGAUGGGCAAGAAGCUGAAAUCUGCCCUUAAAUGUGGCACUUGGGGGUAGGGGUAUUAUUUUAGAUGAAUAUGAACACCUAAUACUUAUAAAAAAUUGAAUAUGAACUCCUAAUACUUAUUAAAAAAUUAAAUAUGAAACACCUAAUGGAGAACUAUGUUAAUACAUAUAUAGGAAGUGUUAUUUAUGGAGUGAAAUAUCUCAGUCACUGUCAUUUUGAGGUCCCAAAAUAAGGAGAAGACACUUACAAAGACAUUGAAUAUUGAACAAGUUGUGCAGACAGCGAUGAAAAGAAUUAUUAAAGCAUUAUAUGAAGGUUUGUAAAACAUAACUUAAGUAAUAAUUUGGUGAAACAAAAGAAUGAAUUUCCAGCAUGAAAUGCUUGUCACGUAACAACAGGCCUGAGUUGUCUUUAUGUCCUAAAUAUUGAUUAAAUUACACAUGAUUAACCAUGCAUAUAUGCUUUACUUUUAACUACCAAGUACCAACCAAUUGCACGUGUAUUUAUUUGUGAGAUUGCCUUUUUCCUUUUCCUGUCUUCCCCUUGUGAGGGGGGUAGAUUGAGUCUCAAGGGUCCAGCCAUAGACAUAUUUUGUUCUUGAUUUCAGAGACCAAAUUUAAGGCAAAACGGGCAAAUAUAAAGCCUCUCCAAAACAAGGAGGGAAAUGAAAAAAAUAAGAAUAGAAAGGAAGAAAGAAACAUACAACUAUUGGGAGUAUUUUUGGCUUUUGCAAAAGCAAUGUACAACUUUUCCAAAGUAUUGGACCCUCGGAAAUGCUUUAGCGGUAGAACUACAGCUCUGCUAGAGGGCUGCCCUCUUAAACUAACAAGAAGAGAAAGAUUAUAACCUACUGGGAUAAUCCAGUUGGCUGGAACACCUACAUCUCGUUAGGAGGUCAAGAUUUUAAGUCUUGUCACAGGCAAGACUACCCUUAGGCUACAGCCUCCAAUUUACCCAAAAAAAAAUAAAAACAUAGACUAUGAAUUUAAAUAAUAAAUAUAUGAAUAAACCUUUAGGAGUGCAGUCAUAAGGAUUGAGUAGAUUGGCCGAUCUGCAUACUGUAUUAUACAUUGAAUUUAAUGGGUUUAUAAUUAAAUGAACCUUUAGGAGUGCAGUAAUAGGAUUGAGUAGGUGGGCUGAUAUACGACAAACAGCUGCACACUGUAUGAUACAUUGAAUUUGGUGGGCGUAUAAUUAAAUAAACCUUUACGAGUGAUGCAUUGAAUUUGGUGAGCUUAUAAUUAAAUAAACCUUUAGGAGUGUAGUCAUAGAGAUUGAGUGUUGUUUGGACUGGAUUUGUGAUAUACAUUUAGCGAUGUCCAAGGAACGCAAAUCAUUACUGGCAAACAAUUAUUUUCCAUUGAACUCAACUGGUGAAUUCGUCUUGUAAAUCUUCCCAUCAUAAAUGUUUUAAAAUUUGGAUUAAGUGGAUGGAAAAUUGGAUCAAGAAUUGG